rnacentral:ncRNA from 1 species
UAGUGGCUUCGUUACAUGCCUCAUUUCAUAGGGAACCUCAAAGUGGCUCUAUUUCAUUAUAUUCCAUCCAUAUCACAAUUCCAUUCAUUUAAUAUCCCUUUGGUGUCCAUUGACUUUUCCGCAAUGGGCGAAAGCCUGACGGAGCAAUGCCGCGUGGAGGUAGAAGGCCCACGGGUCGUGAACUUCUUUUCCCGGAGAAGAAGCAAUGACGGUAUCUGGGGAAUAACUAUCGGCUAACUCUGUGCCAGCAGCCGUUUCGAAAAAACCCAAUUGGUAAUA